rnacentral:snoRNA from 1 species
CCCACUUUGUAAUGACCACCACAUGGUUACGGACAGGUGCAAAAAUGAAAUCCUCUUUGGGACCCAGAACUCAUUGUUCAAUAAGAGUUUUGAUACAUUUAAGAAGGAACAUU